AUUGAACGCUGGCGGCAGGCUUAACACAUGCAAGUCGAGCGGGGAAGGGUAGCUUGCUACCUAACCUAGCGGCGGACGGGUGAGUAAUGCUUAGGAAUCUGCCAUUUAGUGGGGGACAACAUUCCGAAAGGAAUGCUAAUACCGCAUACGUCCUACGGGAGAAAGCAGGGGAUCUUCGGACCUUGCGCUAAAUGAUGAGCCUAAGUCGGAUUAGCUAGUUGGUGGGGUAAAGGCCUACCAAGGCGACGAUCUGUAGCGGGUCUGAGAGGAUGAUCCGCCACACUGGGACUGAGACACGGCCCAGACCCCGACGGGAGGCAGCAGUGGGGAAUAUUGGACAAUGGGCGGAAGCCUGAUCCAGCCAUGCCGCGUGUGUGAAGAAGGCCUUAUGGUUGUAAAGCACUUUAAGCGAGGAGGAGGCUACUUAGAUUAAUACUCUAGGAUAGUGGACGUUACUCGCAGAAUAAGCACCGGCUAACUCUGUGCCAGCCGCCGCGGUAAAAC
rnacentral:rRNA from 1 species